AUUGAACGCUGGCGGCAUGCUUUACACAUGCAAGUCGAACGGCAGCGCGGGCUUCGGCCUGGCGGCGAGUGGCGAACGGGUGAGUAAUACAUCGGAACGUGCCCAGUAGUGGGGGAUAGCUCGGCGAAAGCCGGAUUAAUACCGCAUACGACCUGAGGGUGAAAGCGGGGGAUCUUCGGACCUCGCGCUAUUGGAGCGGCCGAUGGCAGAUUAGCUAGUUGGUGGGGUAAAGGCCUACCAAGGCGACGAUCUGUAGCUGGUCUGAGAGGACGACCAGCCACACUGGGAGUGAGACACGGCCCAGACUCCUACGGGAGGCAGCAGUGGGGAAUUUUGGACAAAGGGCGGAAGCCUGAUCCAGCAAUGCCGCGUGUGUGAUGAAGGCCUUCGGGUUGUAAAGCACUUUUGGCGGGAACGAAAAGGACUGUGCCAAUACCACGGUUCGAUGACGGUACCCGCAGAAUAAGCACCGGCUAACUACGUG
rnacentral:rRNA from 1 species